UACGUGAGGGGCAAGCGUUGUCCGGAUUUAUUGGGCGUAAAGAGCGUGUAGGCGGUUUGGUAGGUCCGCUGUGAAAACUCGAGGCUCAACCUCGAGACGCCGGUGGAAACCAUCAGGCUAGAGUCCGGAAGAGGAGAGUGGAAUUCCUGGUGUAGCGGUGAAAUGCGCAGAUAUCAGGAAGAACACCCGUGGCUAAGGCGGCUCUCUAGUACGGUACUGACGCUGAGACGCGAAAGCGUGGGGAGCGAACAGG
rnacentral:rRNA from 1 species